AGAAAGAUCUCCCCCUCUGGUGGCCGGACGUCACCUCCUCUCCCCCUCGAUCCGCCUGCUGCGCCACCUCCACUCCCCCUCGGCUCGCCGCCUCGUUGCCGCCCCUCUCCUCCAUUCCCCUCCGUCUGCCGCGCCACCUCCUCUGCCCGCUGUGCUGCCUCCCUCUCCCCCUCCUCCUCGCACCGGCCAUGGAUUCCCGCGGAGCUUGCCUCCUCUCCCCCUCCGACCGCCGCCUCAUCUCGUCCAGUACGGCGGCGGGCUAGCAACGGUGGUUCUUCAGGCUCUCCGCAGCGACUACUCAACUACACCUACCAGCUGAUGGCCUCAAGUACUAUAUAUGACAUUGUGGAAGGGAAUUGAAGGGCCCAGCCGAUGAGAAGGCCUCAACAGUAGAGCAACCGCUGUGUCGAGCCGCAAGGCUCAGCUCCUGGGAGGCAACUGGAGUAGCAAACAGGUUAUGUGGCAAACCAAACCAGAGCUGAUAUUGAAGGAUUGGAGGAUGAUGUGCUGUUUUGUGUUCAUUAGCUGUUGGGAGCGCCUCAUAUAAGCAUGUUUCCUCUUCCGUCUUAUUUGUGAUACUGUAUGUCUUUUGUCUUAAAUAGCUCUGUGGAUUAUAAGCAUGUGUAGUGGACCAGCACCUUGUGCCUAGCUAGCUUUGGGACUCCAAUCUUCUUUAUCCAGCUUUCCCAACAGAUCUAGCAUCUGAUCAGAUGUUACUCCCAUACCAAGAGCAAUGAGCUGUGAAGGCCAAUGAGGUACGACACCGACAAGCUCUGGUGCACAAGCAACAUUUGGUGAUAGAACUGGGUGGGACUGAGAGCUGCAGCUUCCACUUUGUACAUUCAUAGAACCUGCAAGAUGGUCUUCCCUGGGGUGAAGAAGCUACAUGACCUUGCUGAUCUCCUUUCGUACCUAAAGGAAGCCACCUCGUCUUGAAAGGAUAUGCUGCUAUAAUAUUGUCAUAUGAGAGAAUUUGUUUUACGGGGUGUGAUCUAGGAGGCAAUUAUAUCCAAUUAUAUCUUAUGAAUUUCGCUUUUUUGGUACGGGUUCCAUAUCUCUAGGUUUAGCUGGAAAAUUCUUCGAUAUGCUUUCGGGCUAUGUUACGAAUUGUCAAAUGUGAGUCCUUUGGUAUUGAUCUGUCACUAUGU